AUCACUUCUCAGCCUUUUGGCUAAGAUCAGGUGUAGUAUCUAUUUAGCAAUCUGCUAAAGAAAAUAGAAUUAAAUGUCAAUUGAAGUCCAAAAUGUGGGAAAGAUAAUGAGUGAACCUCUGAGUAUUUCCCAACAGUCUAUUAUUCCAGCACUUUAAAAAAAAGUAUUUCCU
ensembl:snRNA U2 U2 spliceosomal RNA